CUACAGUACGAAGCAGAGUCUACCGCAAUCAUAAAUAAAUCAAUUCAUCAGGAGAAGUCAGAUGGUUCAAUGGUUCAGAUGCACAGCAGGAAACUGCGGAGAGGGCAGGGACUGAGUGUUUGCAGCAGCCGAUCAACAAGACUCACUGAGAGACCUCAACCUCUUCCUCGCUACGAUUCAGGAAAUACUGACUAAAGAGGCAGGUGCUGUACAACAAAAGUACAAGGAUAUGCUUCAUUUAUAGAAUCCAUUUAAAGUGUCUUUACUUUUAGAUGUACACAAAGACAAAACAAAAAUCUAGAAAAAGGGAGAAGUAAUGUCUGUCAAAGUUGAACUAUGAUGCUAACCUGCUGCCACUUCAGCAAUUGUUUCCAGUAAGAAAGUCUGAAUCCCUGUUGUGAGUUGGAGAGUUCAGGUAAGACAAGCAAGCAGCCAACCAAGUCAUAUAUUUUCUUCUGAGCGAAAAAUGCUUUUCAUAAUCACUACUAAACUACAAAAAAGGAGGAGUGAGGAUUAAAUGGCUAAACAUCAACGUGUUGACUAACGCCGGUCUUUCAUUUUCAGGCCAUGACAGAUGCACCUUACGGCAACUAAAACCCACAACAUGGAGCGGUAUUAUGCAUGGACUUUGGAUUUUUCGUCCGUUGCCGGUCACUUGCUGUUUACAUGGGUGGAGAUCGGAAGUGCCGGGCGGUGUUGCAGGAAACUGUGUCGGGUUUUGUUUACCACCAUCCACCCUCAUCCUCAAGACUUUGAACCAGAAUCAGCCUCACAUCUCCAUCCUCUCUCCCAACUGAAAUGAUGCCAGCGGCAGGGCUUUCACUGAUCUAUGCUGGUUUCAACACUUGAUUCUGCAUGGUGGCUUUCAAAGAUCGGGAAAGAUUCCAAAGCGGAAGAAGGAUCCCCCUGUGCGUCUUUGAUGUGUGACUGGCAGGUUCAGUCCAUGUUUGAGGUCGGUCUGAACCAAGACACAUUCCCCGAAUUGGUGUUGCAUCCUUUGCCCACAGGGCUUACACUGCUCGACUUAAGUAGAACCAAUAACGUGGGAUUAGCCUACAGUUACAUGGAUAUCAAUUAUGGGCCCAUAAAGCAUAAAUUGUCUUCUUAACAGAUUCAGUAGCUUUAGAUGCCAUAAUCUAAAUAUAUGUUUUAUAUUAUCCAAGCUCAGAGCUUUGUGUGUUUGAGUUGUGUGUUUGGAAAAUCUGCUCCCGUGUCUCAGUAAAUCCCACUGCACUUACGUGUCUCUCGUUGUCUGAGAUUUAUUUCUGUGCGAGUGUGUGCAUGUGCCUUCUCCUCGUGUUGUGUUUAACUGUAAGGGACAGCAGUAAUGUUCCCGGGUCAAACUAACCUGGUGCAUUUCAACCGUCCGUAUCUCAAUAAACAAUAUCUUUGUUCCUUAAAA
rnacentral:lncRNA from 1 species